GAGUAAAGGAUAAUAUCAUGGUUAUAACUGGAUACAACGAGCAGUCAAUGCACUUAACAGUACACCAUUUCUCGAAAUAUUGGUGUACUAAAAAAAGUAAUUCUUUUUUAACAUUCCUGAACCUUUGUCCCGGUAUUGAAUAACACCACGCUCUCUGCCUGUAGGCACCUUUUAACUGAUGAAAUUAUCUCUUUGAAAUUUCCCUAGGAAUAAAUCCAAAGCUAUAUUUAUAAUUACCAUCCCUCAUGGAAAUUUUGUUUAGCAGAUUAUACGAGAAACGAUUGAACUGGCCUCCAGGAUACCAAUUUACUAUUUUAGAAACUACUUUGUUUGGUGUUUUGUAAGGAGUAUUUACAGCAGAAACAGAUAUUUAGAGAUAGUGAAGCUAAAAAGUGCCUGAUCAUCAAUAACUAUUGAGAAAGAAGUACACUUAAAAGUGGUAACCUGCUGGUUAUGUAUAAUCAUUAUGUAUAUGUUAUUCGCGUGAGUAUCAUUGGAUGUGUAAAACUCGCGGCACUCGAUCGCACGAAGUAUAUGGAAAAAGGAAAUAAAAAAGAUAACAGAGAUUCAUAAGUGGAAACCGAGAAUAGCUCAUACAUGCAACGUAAGAUAUAACAUCCUUGAAGAUAUACACCCUCGUACGAUAUGUUUUCCAUUUAUCAUUUCUAAACGAAAACUGUUGUAAGAAAUGCCUAGCAAUUGUCAAAUUAAUUAAUUAACCCAGUGAGAGACGAGUUUCAUAGAUUCCACUUAUCUCUGCACUUCGAACUUCUCGAGACCUACCCAGUGAGUUACAAAGACACACAUAUAUAACAAUGAUCUUUAUUACAUGAAGUAAUAAUAGAGUAUCUUCUGUAUAGCGUCACGAAAUGGUGAAAGUCUAGGACAAUGAGUGAGUAGAAUAAAUCCGAGAUUAGAGUUUAGAAAGUUCCGUAGAGACUCAAUCUCAAUAUAGUAGAGUACUGCUCAUCUAGUUGUAUGCAUCCCAAUAGAGUACCGCGUGUUUAGUUGAGUAUAUAGAACACCGCGACGUUCAGUAACAAAGUAGUCUACAGUAGAAUAAUCAAUGACUGGCACAGUACCAGCUAGUAGUUAACUUCGUUUUGGAGUGCAUCAAAUCUGUCACUUUUUUAAUAAUGUAUGAUACUUUUUGGUGAGUAGAAUUUAAAAAUUAUUACGAGUUAUUCAUAUAGAGUUCCGUUUUCGAGAAAAACUGAGAUUGUAUAUCUGUUAAGUUUGCGUGUAUUCCACUAACCGUAGUCUAGAAUUACUUUACCCAGUUACUAGCUAGCUACGGUUACCUCCAUUUGUGUCUACAAACAAUAUCAAUCAGGAUAUAUAUCUCUCAAAACAAUGAUAUCCGCGUCUUAGAACUGAGAAUUUUUAAUUCUACUCGCUAAAAGCUUAUCAUAUGUUGUGAAAAAGGAUUACAAAUUCGGUAUGUCCCAAAACGUUCAGCCAAAUAUUCUAUAUUAGAGUUCAUGUACAUUAGUGUCUUAAGGCCAUCGAAGAGUAACCUCAAUUACAGUGCUGUCCACCAGUAGCAGGACUUCUAAUAUACCUUCAAAUGAUUUAUAUUUAUAUAACAUCCUUUGUUUGAUUAUAUCCAUAGAGAGUACUGACAAGGUUUGGCUGUUAAACCUGGGGAUGCCUCAGAUAUGUCUAUGUAUAACAAAUUCCUCUAUCAUUAUAAUAUAUAAUUUUUAUAAGAUAUAAUUUUUCAAACUUUUUCAACUUGCGAAUAAAGUUUUGACACCGUUACUUUAAUUUAGUGCUCACACUCUGAAACAAAGGUAUUUCUCUCCUUCCUGGGGAAUUUUACACCGCAAGCGGCUCAGUUACGUGUUACGCCAUAAAGGUGGGGGGUGACUACUCGAAAAUGACCUUGAAGAACCAACAUUUGAGAACUCUAGGAUAGAAUUAAUUAGACGUAUCUUAGCGAUACGUUUAAUAACUGAUCUGCUGUGUAGGAUUCCAUCGACUGCUUUUUUCUUCUUUUUAUUGUAUCACAAAGUGCAAAAGCAUUAGUACGGUCUUUGAAAAUAAAAUCAGGCUCUGGAAUCCCCGUAAAAUCAAUCGAUUUACGAGCGAGAGUGGUGACUUACGAAACAUACGAACAGAAAUGUUAGGUGAGCGUGAGGAAAAACAGAAUAAAGUGAAAGCUGAUGUGCCUUGGUUCACAGCCGGAAACAGUGCUCUUGGUACCUUUCCGGAAAUGUAUUUGUUUCGAAGCUUCACAUGGCAUUGGUGAUACAACCAUUAUUUUUUCAAUGCGAAUAGAGAGAUUGACAAUUGGGAAAAAUAUAUGUUCUUAUUAUGUCAGACGGAGAAAGCAGAAAUUUAUUUUCAUUAAAUGAGCCUGCAUUGACAAGCUCGCAACUUAUUUUUUUUCUAUCGUUGAGAAAAAUCUCUGAGGAGAAGAUGGACAUUAGAAGCAGUUGAGUACUUUGCACUUUUCAUUUCCUCGACCGUGAAGGAACAUCGCGUGUUCGUGCAGCAGAAUACGGUUUAACGCAAGCAAUGCAUAGAAACCACAGAAAUGCUUUUUUCAGUGUGAGCAUACAGUGGACAAUCUUAAGUAAUUUUCUCAUCUUAUACUUAAUAAAACGCAACCUUUUCAGGCACUCAUCUUCAUUUCAAAUUCUCUUAAUUUCUCUACAUUCAUCUUUGAUCUCUCACAUAAUGAGAUAGUUAAGGAAAUGCAGUGCCUAAGAAGUUAAUCAGAAUGCAGACUUUCAUAUUUCUUUGGUCUGAAAGAUUCAGAUCAAAAACAAGGCUCAAUAUAGACAAAGUGGACUCAUGUUGAAUUGUAGAGUUUUACAAAGUGCAAGCAGAUACAGUGUAAGUUACAAUACCAAUAAGAAGUGAACAAAAUAAAAAAGUUUCUCUAUUGCAGUCAACAAUACUUUCCUUGAAGUCUCUUUCGCAGUGUUCUUUCUGAUUCUGAUAAGACUCCUAAUACUUUCUAUUACGCUGAGAAUAAUAUGAAAAGACAUAUAGAAGUUUGGCUAUAGUGAGUAAAAAAAUAGAAAUAUUAUGGCAUCGCUUGAAGAGUAAGUAGUUAUAGAUAUAUAUAUAAUAAUUGGAUAGAAAAUAAUCCACAUGGGAGAAAGAUUUUCAUAGAAAAAUGCACAUGGACCAGCAUCGGUUGCCUUUAAGAAUCACUAUUUACUUUUAUUCACCAAGUCAUUGUGCAGAUUUGUUUUUUCCAUUUAUAAGGACGCGAAUCGAGAAACGGACUUCUAUGACGCGCGCUCUUAUUUUCUCCGUUCAGUAGAGGGAUUAAUGAACUAUAAAAUCGAAUAAUUAAUCCUCUGCAAUAGUUUAGUUAAAUUAAUUUCACAAUAUUUACAAUUACGCUAACUAUUUGAACUUGUCAUUUCCUUAAUAAUAACUAUUAUUUCAUUAUAUUUUACUUAAUAGUCUAUCAUUGUCAUAAUCCUUUCUUUUUUGAAUUUUUCUUGGAAUGAAACUCCCAAGUAUCACUCGUAUACAAGAACUUAAAGAAAUCUUACAGCUUCAUUUGUCUCUCCACUUAUUUUCUAUAUUGAAUACUGAAUCACAAAGAAAAUUCUCUUCAAGGUAAGAAAUAAUUUAAAGAGAACUUAUAUAACACUGAGUAUUUAUGCGCUAUCAAAUAGAAUGAAACUUUAUGACGCAGUAUGUAUGUACAUGCACUCCAACAUCUUUUAUGUCAUAUUUAAUCAGAUAUAGAACAAAUUUGUCGCAUUAAAAAUAAUCACACACUUCGUAUAAAGAAUGUGAAUGCAGAGGUUUAAUAUCACAGUGAAAACGACCGUAAUACAAAUAAUUUUUGACGACAUGAAAGAAAGAAGAGAAAAUCCAAUAUAUUAAAGAUAUACCUAAGAAUGUUCAUGCACCCUCUGCUGACCGGUUUCAAUCAAAUAUAACAUUCGGAUAACGUGUCUUAAACUUUAUUUUAUAUAAUAACAAUAAUAAUAAUAAUAGUCGCUAAUAAUAAUUAAUUAAAAAUUAAUAUAUAUAUAUAUAUUAUAUUCUCUACGUGUAUCGUUAUAAUUGGUAGUCAAUCAUUUUCAUCAUUCCCGUAUAAUAAACUAAUUUUAAUGCGUCAAUAUGUAAAACUGAACGUCUUCUCCCGAUUGCAACAUAUUUUCUCUCAUUGUUAUUUGCAUAAAAACGUUUGUAGUCUGCAUUAGACAGAUAAUCCCUUGACAAUGAUGAUUUGCAAAUACACCAAAGUUCGCCUGUUCCUUCCUUUUUUCACAACGUGUCACAGAUUUUCUUUAAUCUGUGUAUGUAUAUUUAAUGUGCAGUGAUUUCUAGCCCGAAUCAAACAGGUGAAUCACGACAGAGAACCCUAACAUAGAAAUGGAUAAGAGAUAAGAACAAGACAACUUGAACUCCACAAUUGGAACAUUUGGAAGUUGAACCUUUUUUUCUAGAAGAACUCGAAUAUGCCCCAUGAACAAAAUAGAUCUUUCUGUUCUAUGUAUCAAUGAGACAGAUGAUCAUGUGAAAAUAAAACCAGCAUAAAAGAGGCAGAUUUAUGUACAGCGGUUAGAAUAAAACGUUCGAUAUAACCGUACAAUAUAUAUAUAUAUAUAUAUGUAUAUUUCUUAUAAAAGAGAUUUUAUUUAACAUUUUAAUGUAUCGCAGUUCGUGUAAAUUUUUGUAUAGUCAUCAAUGUAUUGAUAGCACACUGCGUUGCAUUAAAAUUCAAGCUUUCAGAUUCGAGUUUUUCAAG